CUUACUGAGGUCUAGCUGUGUGCCGCGCACAGGCCAGACGCGGGGUCUCCCUGGCCAAUCGACUGUUCGCACAAGAGACACAGAUCUAUUUGUUUCUGCAAAGUGCCGUGAGAAUUUUUGGAAAGAAGCAAAAGGUGUACCAGGCGGGCUUCCUGUCCGGGGAAGAUUCUCUCCAUUCAGAGGCAAACAGUUCAGGUGAAGGGGUGCUUCCCGCACUGCCACGGCUGAAACCUGCUCACCGCCAGGCCGUGUCCCCCUGAGAAAAGUGUGCCCAGAAUCUCCGACUUACAAUGGCAGAACCGGAGAUCAGGCUUUGUGUGACCCGUGUUUCCUGUUCACUGCUCAGAAGGCGAAGGAGAAUGUUUAAAUUGGUCUGUUAACCUCAUCUGAGCCUACACCAGCAACAGCAAAGAGUUCUUUUUACUUGUGUAUGGCCCUCGCUGGGCCACAAAUGACAGCCUGGGGCUAGAGCUGGGAUCCUGUUGGACAACAAGGACAGUGGCCCCAAAAUGGAGCCUGCUGAGCCACCACCCUCCAGAGAAAUUCCAGAUACACCUGCCAGGGGUCCUGCAGCUGUCCAAGGCCUCCCCGGAGCAUGGGUAGUGGGCUCUGCAUAGAUCGGACCCUGAGAAGUGCGUGUUCUCCCCUAGGGUACCACAGCCCAAGCUCCCUUCUAAAUGCCUUGAAAACACCUAGACAAAGAGCCCUCCUGGGUAUCCAGCUCGGAACCACUCCCCGCUAGCAGGAGCUCUACUUCCUUGCCUUUAUAUUGUUAAAUAAAUUUGUUUGCGU